rnacentral:tRNA from 1 species
AGCGGAGUAGAGCAGUGACCGGCUCGUUGGCAACAUAAGCCAAAGGUCGCAGGUUUGAAUCCUGCCUCCGCAA